AACAUUACAUUAAUCACAACUUCAGAGGUAGUGCCGGCAAGUAGUGAAAGCACUAGGGAGAAAAGUAACAGUCCUAGACUACCCACGCCAAUGACCCCUGGCAAAUCACGUCUCCCCCUGGGCCAGCUCCCUCCCUUGGGAUCAAUGUGCAGCAUGAAGAAGAUCAUCGAUCUUUCAACCCAGGCUCUCAGGCUCCAGGAGUGGAGACACGAGCACAUGGCUUCACCAUCCGUUUAUAACAGAACAGCAAGCACACGUGCCCUAGAGCAAAGUAGAAAGAGAGAUCACUUAUCAUACCAGGAAAAUCUCAGUCUGAAUGAGAAAAGAUAAUUAAGAGACGCCAACAUCAAGAUGACACAGACACUGAAUUACCUGAGAACACAGGCGCUUGCCUGAGAGAGAGCACCUCCAACGGGGCCUAGCUGUGCCACACUCUCUGCUUCACCCAGUUCUCUCCUGUCAGAUUCUGAGCAUGUAGACAACACUUACUUCCUGAUAAAGUUUUGGACAUUCUGGAUGAAAGCGCAGAGCCCGAAGAAAUAGCUGUCUCGCA